rnacentral:rRNA from 1 species
CCUACGGGGGGCAGCAGUGGGGAAUAUUGGACAAUGGGGGCAACCCUGAUCCAGCCAUGCCGCGUGUGUGAAGAAGGCCCUCGGGUUGUAAAGCACUUUCAGUGAGGAAGAACGCCUGGUGGUUAAUACCCAUCAGGAAAGACAUCACUCACAGAAGAAGCACCGGCUAACUCCGUGCCAGCAGCCGCGGUAAUACGGAGGGUGCGAGCGUUAAUCGGAAUUACUGGGCGUAAAGUGCGCGUAGGUGGCUUGAUAAGCCGGUUGUGAAAGCCCCGGGCUCAACCUGGGAACGGCAUCCGGAACUGUCAAGCUAGAGUGCAGGAGAGGAAGGUAGAAUUCCCGGUGUAGCGGUGAAAUGCGUAGAGAUCGGGAGGAAUACCAGUGGCGAAGGCGGCCUUCUGGACUGACACUGACACUGAGGUGCGAAAGCGUGGGUAGCAAACAGGAUUAGAUACCCCUGUAGUC